GAGUCGCUAGUAAUCGCGGAUCAGCAACGCCGCGGUGAAUGCGUUCCCGGGCCUUGUACACACCGCCCGUCAAGUCAUGAAAGUGGGCAGCACCCGAAGACGGUGGCCUAACCCUUGUGGGGGGAGCCGUCUAAGGUGAGGCUCGUGAUUGGGACUAAGUCGUAACAAGGUACC
rnacentral:rRNA from 1 species